GUUUUGUGUUUUAUAAAGGCAACUUUUAUAAAAGUAAGAUAAAUUGGGUUGUGAGGCAGACGCAGAACAUUGAAGAAACAUUGAAGAAACAUUGAAGAAACACGGCUGAUUGAUAAGCAUUGCUUAUGACCGAUCAACAACAGCCCGACACAAGUGCUGGAUAAAAGCGGAGCUAAUAAUAUCAUCCAGUCACAGGCUGGGGAUGAACAAUAAGAGCUUGUCUCAAAGAAUUGAGGCUUUGUUCUAGAGCAUAAUUUUGAAGAACAUUUUCAACAUCAGAAGCACUGUAAGGUUCAAUCGCCAUUGUAAAGAUGCCUGAGCAAGAGGUAAGAGUAAAUAAGGCCAUCUUUGCAUACACCAUUUUUAUCCCAGAAUUCCUAUAUGCCAUUUGACGAGUUUUCGAGAUUCUGGGUAUCAUGAACUGUUAACAAUGUAGUGUUUACAGCAGUUAUACAUUGUUAGUUCAUAGUGCAUUAACUAAUGUUAACAUAUACAACUUUUUAUUUUAAAAUGUAUUAGUACAGUGGCAAACAAAACAUAUGUGAACCCUUUGGAAUUAUCUGCAUUUAUCUAUACAUUUGCCUUAAAAUCUGGUUUGAUCAUCAUCUAAGUUAAAACAAUGAACAAACACAAUCUGUUUUAGAUUAUAACACACAAAUUAUUGUAUUGUUCUUGUACAUCAUUCUAACAAUCACAGUGUAGGUUGCAAUAUGUAUGUGAACCCCUAGGCUAAUGGUGUCAACAAAAGCUAAUUAGAGUCAGGAGUUGGCAAACCUGGCAUCCAAUUUACGAAACGAGAUUGGAGGUGUGGGUUAGAGCUACUUUGACUUAUAAAAAGCACUCAAACAUUUUGAGUUUGCUAUCUACAAGAAGCAUCUCCUGCGAAAAAGAGAUCUCAGAAGCCCUACAAUUAAUCAUUGUUGCCUUGCAUCAGUCUGGAAAGGGUUACAAAGUUAUCUUGAAGAGUUUAGAUAUUCAUCUGUCCACAGUUAGACACAUUUUUUAUAAAUGAAGACAAUUUAGUACUAUAGGUACUCUCACUAGAAGUGGCCGUCCUGCCAAGAUGAGUCAAAGGGCACACUGCAGAAUGCUCAGUGAGAUAACCAAGAACCCUAGAGUGACAGCUAAAGACUUGAAGGAAUCAUUGGAACUGGUUCACAUCUCUUUUCAUGAGUCUAUUUUACAGAUAACAUUAAACAGGUAUGGUAUCCAUGGCAGGACACCACGAAGGAAGCUGCUGCUUUCCAACAAAAACAUUGCUGUGAGCCUGAAGUUUGCCAAAGAUCACCCUGACACUCCACAAUGCCACUGGGACAAUGGUUUGUGUUGUUAGCUUAAGCACAUUGUGUUUGUCUGUACUUUUGACUUUGAUGAAGAUGUGAUCACAUUUUGUGACCAAUUAAUGAAGAAAGCCAGCUAUUUCCAAGGGGUUCACAUACUUUUUCUUGCCGCUGAAUAUGUUGCAAUUAACAUUAACUAAGAUUAAUAAAUGCUGUAAAAGUGUCACCAAAUCAUUUACAGGUGAAACUCUAAAAAUUAGAAUA